UACGGAGGGUGCAAGCGUUAUCCGGAUUCACUGGGUUUAAAGGGUGCGUAGGUGGGCAGGUAAGUCAGUGGUGAAAUCUCCGGGCUUAACCCGGAAACUGCCUUUGAUACUAUCUGUCUUGAAUAUGGUGGAGGUAAGCGGAAUAUGUCAUGUAGCGGUGAAAUGCUUAGAUAUGACAUAGAACACCCAUUGCGAAGGCAGCUUACUACGCCUAUAUUGACGCUGAGGCACGAAAGCGUGGGGAUCAAACAGG
rnacentral:rRNA from 1 species